rnacentral:rRNA from 1 species
GUCCACGCCCUAAACGAUGUCAACUGGUUGUUGGGUCUUCACUGACUCAGUAACGAAGCUAACGCGUGAAGUUGACCGCCUGGGGAGUACGGCCGCAAGGUUGAAACUCAAAAGGAAUUGACGGGGACCCGCACAAGCGGUGGAUGAUGUGGUUUAAUUCGAUGCAACGCGAAAAACCUUACCCACCUUUGACAUGUACGGAAUUUGCCAGAGAUGGCUUAAGUGCUCGAAAAGAGAACCGUAAACACAAGGUGCUGCAUGGCUGUCGU